rnacentral:lncRNA from 1 species
GAGGGUUAGGAAUGCAUUCAAUAAAAUUAGGAAUGUGAUGUUGAAAAUUGUUUCAAGAAUAAAUCAAAAAUAUGCUGCAGGUAUUUCUUGAUUUUAUGCAAAAUAGUUUUCGGCAGAUAUUUUUUGAUUUUAUACAUGUUAGUCUUCCUUAUUUUCUUGCUUCUAAUUAAUUUGUUAUUAGUGACAGAAUUUUUGGAGAUUAUGUAAUGAUUUUUAGCCUUUCUGUU